rnacentral:antisense_RNA from 1 species
CGCGGCGUCGCGGAAGGGGCGCGACCACCGUAGGUCCUGUUCCUGCGCUUCCCAAACUGGGCAGAAACGGCGAGAGGCUGGGGGUCAGAAACGCCAGGUUCCCGGCGGGCUGUACCGGGGCUUCGCUGUGUGACCUUGGGCUGGCGUCUCUGGGCCCUUGUUUCCGCGAGUUAAACGUAGGGGCGGGGGAGUUUCUCUGGCCCUGCCGCCUGUGACCUAAGGAGCCCCGUGACCUCUCCGACCCGAGCCCACCCCCGGCCCAGUCUGCGAGCAGCUCCAAGACAAGCACUCCCGGCGAAGACAUGUAGGCUCUCAGAGCCUGCGUUUCCCUCUGUAGAGCGGGCCUAGUUACUGUCUUCAGGGUGCACGCGUCUCCGUUCCCGACCCGCACCCUCACCGCCAGGAGAUGAUUUCUUAACCAGAAGAUACAGCAGGUUCAAAGUCCUGGAGGCCAGAAGGAGCUUGUAUUCAAGAAACAGAAAACGAAGUGUAAGAAAAUAUAUUUUCUCAAGGAAAUAUAA